AGGUUAACCGUAUAGGGGAGCCGUAGAGAAAUCGAGUCUUAAUAGGGCGUUUAGUUGCUGGGUAUAGACCCGAAACCAGGCGAUCUAUCCAUGAGCAGGUUGAAGGUUGGGUAACACUAACUGGAGGACCGAACCCACUGUCGUUGAAAAGCCAGGGGAUGACUUGUGGAUAGGGGUGAAAGGCUAAUCAAGCCUGGUGAUAGCUGGUUCUCCCCGAAAGCUAUUUAGGUAGCGCCUCGGACGAAUACCAUAGGGGGUAGAGCACUGUUUCGGCUAGGGGGUCAUCCCGACUUACCAAACCGAUGCAAACUCCGAAUACCUAUGAGUACUAUCCGGGAGACAGACUGCGGGUGCUAACGUCCGUAGUCAAGAGGAAAACAAUCCAGACCGCCAGCUAAGGCCCCAAAAUCAUAGUUAAGUGGGAAACGAUGUGGGAAGGCAUAGACAGCUAGGAGGUUGGCUUAGAAGCAGCCACCCUUUAAAGAAAGCGUAAUAGCUCACUAGUCGAGUCGGCCUGCGCGGAAGAUGUAACGGGGCUAAAACUAUGUGCCGAAGCUGCGGAUUUGACAUUAGUCAAGUGGUAGGGGAGCGUUCUGUAAGCCGAUGAAGGUGUAUUGAGAAGUAUGCUGGAGGUAUCAGAAGUGCGAAUGCUGACGUGAGUAACGACAAAACGGGUGAAAAACCCGUUCGCCGAAAGACCAAGGGUUCCAGUCCAACGUUAAUCG
rnacentral:rRNA from 1 species